rnacentral:rRNA from 1 species
GCGUGCAGGAUGAAGGCCUUCGGGUUGUAAACUGCUUUUGUACGGAGCGAAACGGCUCUCACUAAUACUGGGGGCUAAUGACGGUACCGUAAGAAUAAGCACCGGCUAACUACGUGCCAGCAGCCGCGGUAAUACGUAGGGUGCGAGCGUUAAUCGGAAUUACUGGGCGUAAAGCGUGCGCAGGCGGUGAUGUAAGACAGGUGUGAAAUCCCCGGGCUUAACCUGGGAACUGCAUUUGUGACUGCAUUGCUGGAGUGCGGCAGAGGGGGAUGGAAUUCCGCGUGUAGCAGUGAAAUGCGU